AUUGAACGCUGGCGGCAGGCCUAACACAUGCAAGUCGAGCGGAUGAGUGGAGCUUGCUCCAUGAUUCAGCGGCGGACGGGUGAGUAAUGCCUAGGAAUCUGCCUGGUAGUGGGGGACAACGUUUCGAAAGGAACGCUAAUACCGCAUACGUCCUACGGGAGAAAGCAGGGGACCUUCGGGCCUUGCGCUAUCAGAUGAGCCUAGGUCGGAUUAGCUAGUAGGUGAGGUAAUGGCUCACCUAGGCGACGAUCCGUAACUGGUCUGAGAGGAUGAUCAGUCACACUGGAACUGAGACACGGUCCAGACUCCCUACGGGAGGCAGCAGUGGGGGAAUAUUGGACAAUGGGCGAAAGCCUGAUCCAGCCAUGCCG
rnacentral:rRNA from 1 species